CCUACGGGCGGCUGCAGUAGGGAAUCUUCCACAAUGGACGAAAGUCUGAUGGAGCAACGCCGCGUGAGUGAAGAAGGGUUUCGGCUCGUAAAACUCUGUUGUUAAAGAAGAACGUGGGUGAGAGUAACUGUUCACCCAGUGACGGUAUUUAACCAGAAAGCCACGGCUAACUACGUGCCAGCAGCCGCGGUAAUACGUAGGUGGCAAGCGUUAUCCGGAAUUAUUGGGCGUAAAGCGCGCGCAGGCGGUCUUUUAAGUCUAAUGUGAAAGCCUUCGGCUCAACCGAAGAAGUGCAUUGGAAACUGGGAGACUUGAGUGCAGAAGAGGACAGUGGAACUCCAUGUGUAGCGGUGAAAUGCGUAGAUAUAUGGAAGAACACCAGUGGCGAAGGCGGCUGUCUGGUCUGUAACUGACGCUGAGGCUCGAAAGCAUGGGUAGCGAACAGGAUUAGAUACCCUGGUAGUC
rnacentral:rRNA from 1 species